rnacentral:rRNA from 1 species
UACGGGGGGGGCAAGCGUUGUUCGGAAUUACUGGGCGUAAAGGGCGCGUAGGCGGCCUGCUAAGUCGGAUGUGAAAUCCCUCGGCUCAACCGAGGAACUGCAUCCGAUACUGGCGGGCUUGAAUCCGGGAGAGGGAUGUGGAAUUCCAGGUGUAGCGGUGAAAUGCGUAGAUAUCUGGAGGAACACCGGUGGCGAAGGCGGCAUCCUGGACCGGUAUUGACGCUGAGGCGCGAAAGCCAGGGGAGCAAAGCGGG